rnacentral:lncRNA from 1 species
AUGUGAUUCAAAACUUAGUAGUAAUAUUUGAUGGCGACAGUCACUAUAACAGAAUUAGGUUAUAGGGACACAUAUUUGAGACACUUUUGAGUAAGUGUCUCAUUUAUGCUAAAACUUAAAAAAAUAUCUACUUAUGCCUAAAUAUAAAGCCCAAUCCAACCAAAAAUAAAAGAUUACUCUACUCAACCCACCACACCCAAUCCAUUUGACCCGAUUACAAACAGAAAAGAAAAAAAAAAAAGAAAAAUCAAUUACCAUCUUUUCUUCUCUCUUCACUCAAUCCACUGAAAUUCUAGACGAAUAGCCUUUCCUAUUGUCCUCCUCCACCACCGCAGCCAACGAGAUAGAGUUUCGGCGGUUGCUAAAUGCUUAAAUAAGUGUUGGUAAAUUAAUAGCACUCUUUUAGGUUAUAGCGACACUCUUUAACUGUCACUAUAUACUUAGCGACCCCACAUAUAGCAACACUUUUUAAAAGUGUCGGUAAUUUUAGCUAGCAGCACUUUUUUGACAUGUACCUAUAUUUAAAAGUGUCGCUAUAGACCGUUUUUGUUGUAGUGAGUGAUUACUAAUUGACCAUUUAUCCUACCAUGUUAUUAUGGAGGAAUAAUAGAG